GUGGGGAAUAUUGGGCAAUGGGGGAAACCCUGACCCAGCAACGCCGCGUGAAGGAAGAAGGCUUUCGGGUUGUAAACUUCUUUUACCAGGGAAAAACACAAUGAUGGUACCUGGAGAAAAAGCUACGGCUAACUACGUGCCAGCAGCCGCGGUAAUACGUAGGUGGCAAGCGUUGUCCGGAAUUACUGGGUGUAAAGGGCGUGUAGGCGGGACAGCAAGUCAGAUGUGAAAACCAGAGGCUCAACCUCUGGCCUGCAUUUGAAACUGUUGUUCUUGAGUGUCGGAGAGGUAAUCGGAAUUCCGUGUGUAGCGGUGAAAUGCGUAGAUAUACGGAGGAACACCAGUGGCGAAGGCGGAUUACUGGACGAUAACUGACGCUGAGGCGCGAAAGCGUGGGGAGCAAACAGGAUUAGAAACCCGAGUAGUCC
rnacentral:rRNA from 1 species